UUUUCUUUUUCUUUUUCUUUUCCUUCUUCUUCUUUUUCUUUUCUUCUUUCCCGUGGGUUUCUUUUGGGCCGAAACAGGGGAUCUUUGAUCCCCUCAUUGGUUGGCCGGCCGGCGGUGCAGCCGGCGUGGGGAUGGUCGGCGGCCGAAGGAGAGGUGAUCCGACGGCAAGAGGAGAUCAAACCGGUGGUCGGCGGUGACCACUGGCGUC
rnacentral:lncRNA from 1 species